rnacentral:rRNA from 1 species
UUCNGGGUGAUCCUUCCGGAGGUUACUGCUAUCGAGGUUCGACUAAGCCAUGCGAGUCGAAUGCCGCAAGGCAUGGCGUACUGCUCAGUAACACGUGGACAACCUACCCUUAGGACUGGGAUAACCCCGGGAAACUGGGAAUAAUCCCCGAUAGUCCUCGAAGGCUGGAAUGCAUCGAGGGCGAAAGCUCCGGCGCCUAAGGAUGGGUCUGCGGCCUAUCAGGUAGUAGUGGGUGUAGCGUACCUACUAGCCUACGACGGGUACGGGUUGUGAGAGCAAGAGCCCGGAGAUGGAUUCUGAGACACGAAUCCAGGCCCUACGGGGUGCAGCAGGCGCGAAAACUUUACAAUGCUGGCAACAGCGAUAAGGGAACCUCGAGUGCCAGGUUACAAAUCUGGCUGUCGAGAUGCCUAAAAAGCAUUUCAUAGCAAGGGCCGGGCAAGACCGGUGCCAGCCGCCGCGGUAACACCGGCGGCUCGAGUGGUAACCGUUAUUAUUGGGUCUAAAGGGUCUGUAGCCGGCCGGAUAAGUCUCUUGGGAAAUCUGGCAGCUCAACUGUCAGGCUAUCAGGAGAUACUGUCUGGCUCGAGGCCGGGAGAGGUGAGAGGUACUUCAGGGGUAGGGGUGAAAUCUUGUAAUCCUUUG